AACAUUGAAGGCAAGUUGCCCUUGAGCAGCUCUCUGAAGAUCAACUGCCUCCACAUUGCAUUCUUUGCCCCAAAACUCUUUCCUUUGGUUGUGCUAAGAGGUUAUGCCCAAGGUGCAUCACCUUUCAAGAACUGGAUCAUGAACAACUUUAUCCUCCUGGAAGAACAGCUCAUCAAGAAAUCCCAACAAAAGAGAAGAACUUCUCCGUCGAACUUUAAAGUCCGCUUCUUUGUGUUAACCAAAGCCAGCCUGGCGUACUUUGAGGAUCGUCAUGGGAAGAAGCGCACGCUGAAGGGGUCCAUUGAGCUCUCCCGAAUCAAAUGUGUUGAGAUUGUGAAAAGUGACAUCAGCAUCCCAUGCCACUAUAAAUACCCGUUUCAGGUGGUGCAUGACAACUACCUCCUAUAUGUGUUUGCUCCAGAUCGUGAGAGCCGGCAGCGCUGGGUGCUGGCCCUUAAAGAAGGUAAUUAAACUCCUUUGCCAUUGAAUCACUGACACUCUUGAUCCUAUAGUAGGGUUGGGUUCCACAAUAGAAUAGAGUGUGGUGUGAGAGCAGCUGAUGGCUGAUUUCUCUUUUGGGGUUGGUGGAAGUUCCCAAGUUUUCAU
rnacentral:sRNA from 1 species